rnacentral:rRNA from 1 species
UAAGGAAUAUUGGUCAAUGGACGCAAGUCUGAACCAGCCAUGCCGCGUGAAGGCUGAAGGUCCUCUGGAUUGUAAACUUCUUUUAUCUGGGACGAAAACGGGAUUUUUAUCUCAAUUGACGGUACCAGAGGAAUAAGCACCGGCUAACUCCGUGCCAGCAGCCGCGGUAAUACGGAGGGUGCGAGCGUUAUCCGGAUUUACUGGGUUUAAAGGGUGCGUAGGUGGGCUUAUAAGUCAGUGGUGAAAUCUCCGAGCUUAACUUGGAAACUGCCGUUGAUACUAUAGGUCUUGAAUUAUCUGGAGGUAAGCGGAAUAUGUCAUGUAGCGGUGAAAUGCUUAGAUAUGACAUAGAACACCAAUUGCGAAGGCAGCUUACUACAUAUAAAUUGACGCUGAGGCACGAAAGCGUGGGGAUCAAACA